rnacentral:rRNA from 1 species
AGAGUUUGAUCAUGGCUCAGAUUGAACGCUGGCGGCACGCCUAACACAUGCAAGUCGAGCGGUAACGGAGCCUGUAGCGAUACGGGCUGCUGACGAGCGGCGGACGGGUGAGGAACACGUAGGAAUUUACCCUCAAGCGGGGGACAACCAAGGGAAACUUUGGCUAAUACCGCAUAGACUCGAGAGAGGAAAGCUGCCUU